GUUGAACGCUGGCGGCAUGCCUUACACAUGCAAGUCGAACGGCAGCACGGGUGCUUGCACCUGGUGGCGAGUGGCGAACGGGUGAGUAAUACAUCGGAACAUGUCCUGUAGUGGGGGAUAGCCCGGCGAAAGCCGGAUUAAUACCGCAUACGAUCUACGGAUGAAAGCGGGGGACCUUCGGGCCUCGCGCUAUAGGGUUGGCCGAUGGCUGAUUAGCUAGUUGGUGGGGUAAAGGCCUACCAAGGCGACGAUCAGUAGCUGGUCUGAGAGGACGACCAGCCACACUGGGACUGAGACACGGCCCAGACUCCUACGGGAGGCAGCAGUGGGGAAUUUUGGACAAUGGGCGAAAGCCUGAUCCAGCAAUGCCGCGUGCGUGAAGAAGGCCUUCGGGUUGUAAAGCACUUUUGUCCGGAAAGAAAUCCUUGGCCCUAAUACGGUCGGGGGAUGACGGUACCGGAAGAAUAAGCACCGGCUAACUACGUG
rnacentral:rRNA from 1 species